UGGGGUCAGGCCCAUGGACCGGGACUCUCCCCUCUGUUAGGGCAUCCUCUGAGCCCUGCGGUGAGAGACAUCCCUGUCACCCUCAGAUUGCGCUGGGGAGCAGCCACGGGACAACUGGACCAGUCCCCAUGGCUGUCAGCCGCCACCUCCUCUCCAAAGCCACAGGAAAAGCAGAGCAGCUCCAGGGAGCUAGACCCCGGCACAGGAUCCGGCAGCUCGGUCCGGUUCAGAGUCUGCUGCUGCCGAUUCUCCAGGGAGGGCUGAGGGAAGGAAGCAGGAAUCCAGGUCUGGGAGGCGCAGGAGCCAACAGUGCCCCCAGGAGAAGGGACAGUGCUUGGAUUCGGAGCAGGAGCCAUGGGAGAGGGAGAGCAGGGAACUCCUCCAGGCGGGAUUCUUGGAAGCCACGUGGAAACGGGCGGCGUCCAGUUCAGAGCGACCGCCCGAGGAAAUGUAGAUGAGGAGGAGCGGGGUCAGAACAGCAGCGACCCCACUCAGCAGUGUUACCCCUGUGGUUCCCAAACCCACCUGGUAUUUCUCUCAGCUUGACCUCGACAGACGUGAUCCAGGAAGAGCAGGUGCCCUGAGAGAUGGAGCAGGGGGGCUAAGAACCAGCUGGAGCCAGAGUUCAUUUCCUCUCCUGAGGUCGAUGGAGCACGAACACCCCUAGUUCAGGACACGGCAAGGCCUCUGCAGGGAGACGGAAAUCUUACGGCCCCUAACCAGAAGGGUGGGCACAGCACCCUGGAGACACCACGUCCCUCACAGUCCUGCUGCGUCCCGCGCUCUGCCCAGCAGGACCAGCUGGCCUGUGUGAAUCUGGCCCUUUCACAAACAGCAAAUGCUUGGGUCUGGGCGCUCAGAACGACUCCCCUGGCAGCAGCCAUCUGGUCUGACUCCCCUCUGGACACCUUGCGGGACUCAGCAGGGGCCAGGGCUGCAGUGCGGUUGCCUGUCGGCGUGUGCAGCUGGGUGCCGAAGACAGCUGGCCAGGCUGUAGUGACCUGAACUCCCCUCCCCACACGUGGAUGGUGCCAGCUGGGGAAUCAGUGGGAAGGCAACGGAUGACUCCUCGGACAAAGCAAAGAUGCCCCGGCUCCUGCCAAGGCCGCCGGGGGGCUGUAAAUCCUGCUCCAAACCCAGGCUGCCUUUCCCAGCAUCCAGACCAGCCAUGCAGCAGGUGAGAUGAUCCCAGCCACUGCAGGGAAAGUGUCGACACCCAGAGGUGGCUGAUCCGGGGGGACACCCACAAGGCAGCCUCUGGUCCCAGAGCUGGUGUGACUCGAUGCCAGAGCAGAGGGGGAUGGAGCAGCACAUGGGGUCGUAUUCACCAGUGUGCGUAUCCUUCUUCUCUGAUCUCCGCACCAGGUGAGUUCUGUGCUGUCCAGAGAGCGUGGGCGCUGGUUCUGCCCAGAUUGGCCCCUUCUCCCUCUCCCCCGGCCCCUCAGAAUGGGGGUACAGGCGGCUGUCCCCCAUCUCCUGCAGACAGGGGCCAUAGGACCAGUCCCAGAGAGGGGACAGGGCCUGUACUCCAUCCUGGCCCUGCUCAAGGAGAAAUUGGGGCAAUAGGACCGUGCUCGGUCUGGAACAUCUCUGGAAGAGCCCUGGGCAGCCCCAAUUCAAGACAGAUGUUUAAGUCCCACCCUGGCGGUGAUCCGCAAAGGGCCUGUCUGUGCUCCAUGGAACUGAGACACAGCCCUGCCCACCCCCCUUCGUCAGCAUCACCUCAGAGCUCGGUGUCACCUCUGCAUCCCAGCACAUCCGGUUCAGCUCCUCGCCCGUCGGCCUCGCCACAGCCCCCGGGUACCUGCCACGGGUUCAUUGUCAGGGUCACUGCCCUCAAACAGGAAGGAGUCACCUCUGGCCAUCCUCAGCGCCGCUCCAGCCAGAGGGUGAGCCCCACAAACCACUUCCCAGGCACUCCGGAUCCUGGAACCGUGGGUUCAUUCUGCGCUGGGAAGAGAGACGCCUGAGCUCCACCCCACGGAGAGCUCGCCUGGGGCUGGGAAUGACCCACCGUCUCUCGGGUUAUUGCUCAGGAGAGAUGGGACAAUUCCCUGCUUUGUUCAGGACGGCCAGCAGCCUGCAGGAGGUCGCAGCCUGCCCCAGUGUCACUGCUGGGUGUGUUGUGUGUGGACACACUGGGGUGAGUGCACACGAGAGCUCCAGUCUUUCCUGCUGUCCCUGCCUGCUCAGACCUUGGUGCGUCUGAACAGGAGAAUCUGGCCUCCCCGGAGCCUCAGCACCUCUCGGAUGGGGCUCAGCACCUGUCGUUUCCUGUAGCCGGGCCGGACAGGAGAGUCUGGCUUCCCCGGAGCCUCAGCACCUCUCGGAUGGGGCUCAGCACCUGUCGUUUCCUGUAGCCGGGCCGGACAGGAGAGUCUGGCUUCCCCGGAGCCUCAGCACCUCUCGGAUGGGGCUCAGCACCUGUCGUUUCUUGUAGCCGGGCCAGACAGGAGAGCGCUACGGGCAGUGCCAGCCUGUGGGGCUGGGUGCUUGCGUGAGGUGAGCUGAGUACGGAGCAGGAGACGGAACCUGGCAUGAACUGGGUGCAGCUCAGGGUGAUUGGCUGCGGGCUCUGGCCCUGUCCCCAGGGUUGAACAGCUCCCUCCUCCUGCUCCGAACCGACACCAGCGCAGUGCCCUGCGUCAGCGAACAGGGCGGGACGAGGUCGUCACACCAGCAGGAGGAAGCCGACCCUCUGAUGUCCUGUGUGGAGCGAAGCCCCCAGCGUGGUCGAGGAAUGAGGCGUGACGAGCGACGCAGGGAAGAGCUGGCUCAGGCACUCAGGAGCCUGCGCCCAGACGUCCUACUGUUCCUACUGAGGGAAUUUCCAGUCUCACUGAGAGACCCAUUUGUGUCUCACCCACGCUGCAGGGUCCCUCCUUUCCCGGCUGGAAGGGAUCCCGCUGGCAUCCAGGAAACCUUGCACCGGGUCUGCCUGAUCUAGAGCCGGGGGCAGUUCAAGCCGUGCUGCAGGAGACGGAGCUUCUCUGCUUCUUCACCGGCUCUAAUGUAGGUCUUGGAAUUCCUGCAGGAGGGUCGGACCCAGGGCUUGGCAGUCUCAAUGUCACGUCGAGUGGGUGCUCUCCCUGGGCAGGGAGAGGGUCUCUGUACGCUAGGAUAUCCAGCGUUUGCUCCCAGCUGCAUCCCUGCUUCAUCCUUCUACCAGUUGGGGCUCACGGCACCACUUCUCUUCGCCGGUGCCCAAGGACAGGAACCGCGGGCACCAAGACAUGAGCCGCUCCCCGACACCGAAAGGGGACAGGCAAGGAGACCGGGACAGUGCGAGACCCACGCCAGGCUGCUCUCCCUCACCGGCAUCACUGCAGCCGCUGCUAAAGACACCCACGCGGGUCCCUCGUAUCUCACCACGGGAUGCACCACCCUCCUGCUGUCAGUGUACCAGACACUUCACGGUACCAUCCACGCCAGGGGCGUACGCGGCAGCUAGGGACCUGCUUACACUGCCGGUACCAUGGUCCCUGGACGUCCAGGACUUGGCAUCGUCGGCAAGAGACCCUACCCAGCUGUAGAACGGCUCCAAGACCACUCUCCGGGGAAACCCCCUCUGGUCACUUUGCCCAGGGUGUCCCCAUGGCACCGACACCGGGAGGGUCGGCACUGCCAUGGUCUCCUCGCUUCAUAUCGUCAGGACCAUCCACACUGUUCUCCAUGGCCAUCUUACACAACAGGGACAUCUAGUGCGAUGGGGUCCCGAACACUGGGACCGGGGGCUGACACCCAUGCAGGGGCCUUUCUGGAACUUGUGGGGGUUUCCGCCAGCUCAGGGCACCGGCUCCAGGCACUCUGACUCAGUGGCCUCAGAGCAGAGCCCCUCCGGUACUGCACCGAGACACACCAGACCCGAAUCCCAGUACGCAUCCCAGUACCGAGCAGCUGAAGCAGGUUCCCCACUCAGAGGAGAGAGCAGAGACCUUAACAGCUUUAACCACCUCCUCCUCUUUGCCAGACGAGGCGCUGGUGGCCCCAGAGGUGCCCCACCCCAGGGUGAGCACAAAGCCCACCAGGACUUAUCGAAGCGAGUGGCACAAAACUGGUGUCCAGGCAGAGGUGGUGAAAGAGUCACUCAGGCCUUCCCGGCUAGCUGUGCGACAGCAGGCCCCUCAUCACUCUUCCCCUACGUGAGGCGAUCCCAGAGCCCACUGAGGCUCUGGCAGAACCCAGCCUCCCUCCCUCCUAAGCGAACGGAGCGGGAAUAUUUUGUACCUGCCAAGGGCUGAGAAUUUUUAUUCUCUCUCUCACAAUCACGCGUCCCUAGUCGUGGCAGCUGCUGAAGAAAGGGACCAUCAAGUUCAAACGGGGCCCACAGGAAAUGCAAAGGAUCCCCAAAGUUGGCUUUGUUCUGGAGGAAACCCCCUCGCUGGGGGGAUUGCAGCUCCGCGUGGCGACCCAGCAGGCCUGGCUGGGUCGCUGUGAUUUUUGCAAGUGGGAAGCGAUGCAGAAAUGGCAGGACCUGCUCCCUUAGGGCGCCCAGUUGGAGUUCCCUGCCCUUGUGCAGCAAGGGAGAGCAGUGGCCUGGGCCUCUCUGCAGGCAACCCUGGAUGUCAUGGGUUCUGCGGCCAGGUCAGUGGCCACGGUUGUCACCACGCGCAGGAGCUCGUGGUUACAAACUCUGGGAUUUCCACAGGACGUGCAGCAGAUGACCCAGGACCUCCCAUUUGAAGGUUCCUCGCUCUGUUCAGAGCAGACAGACACCAGACUCUAGGGCAGCACUGAAAUCCCUGGGCCUGCACUCGCCCGCAUGAGCUAGAAGGCACUAUAGGCCCCAGCAAUACAGGCAAUGCUGUUCUCCACUGCCCAGACACCAGCAGUGGAGGAGACAGAACAAGGGGUUUGCGUAUAGGCCCCUUCCACCCUCCUCCUCCACGGGGCCAUCCCAGUUGGCUCCUCUUCGUUUCAGCAUCUCAAAGCCCUCGUUUCGACAUGGUGCUUGAGAACGACAUACCAGUCCCUCCACACCAGGAUCCAGUUACCCCUGUAUCUUCCAACCGUCCUAUUCCUCAGUGCCUGGGAACACAUUUACCUUGGAGUGCAGGGUCCUAAACACAGUGGAAUCUGGGUAUAGCUUCCAAAUUUUGUCUACUCCUUCCCACCCACCCACUCUCCCCGUCCCUCUUCAGGGACCCUUCUCACAAGCAUCGUUUGGAGCAGGAGAUACAAUCCUCCUUUGGAUGGGAGCUGUGGGAGAGGUUCCGCACCCACUGAGGGGGAAGGGUCUCUAUUCCCAUUAACUUUCUCAUCUCCAAAGCCAAGGGAGAUCUCAGACCAAUCCUAGACCUGCCUCGGCUCAACCACUGUCUCAGAAAGUGAAAGUUCUGCAUGGUCUCCUUAGCCUCCAUCAUCCUGUGGCUGGAUCCAGGGGACUGGUCUGCCGCCCUCAGCUUGAAAGGUCCAUACUUUCACAUAUUAAUUUUCCAGGGCCACAGAAGGUGUCUAAAAUUUGUGGUAAACCAGACCCAUUAGCAAGUCGCAGCCCUGCCAUUCGGUCUGUCGGCCGCCCCGGCAGCCUUCACCCAGUGUGUGGCAGUAGUAGGGGCCUUUCUGAUUAGGAAUCUGUUUUUUUCCCAUAUCUCAACAAUUGGUUGAUCAGGUUGGUCCCGAGCUCAGGUGGAGCCUGACAUCGACCUCAUACAAUCCACCUUCCAGACUUUAGGUCUGCUGAGAAACAUACAGAAGUUGACACUUAUUCCUGUGCAAAGAAUAGAGUUCACUGAGGCAGUUCUUGACUCGGUGGGGGUGAAGGCCCUUCUGGCGCACCGCUUCUGUACAGCCUGGGCCCUGAUAACCCCCCUGCAGACACACCCAUCACGACUCCUUGGCCACAUGGCAUCAGGCGUGUACAUGGUUUGACACGUGAGGCUGAGACUCGGACCUCUCCAGCCUGGCUGGCUGUGGUACACUCCCCUUCCAGACAUCAUCUGGGCACAGCUCUCACCGUACCAGCUUGAGGCCUGGAGAGGGUAUUUCCCUCAGAUGAAGGAACCGAUCACCCCCCGAGACCUGAACCUUGUCCUCACAAAGCCAACUGGCCCAGCCUUGGAGCCGCUAGCACCAUGCACACUGCUGCACCCCUGUGGGAAGGUCGCCUUUCCGAUUCCCAUCAUGUCGGCUAGACGAGUGUCAGAUCCGAGCCCUCACCGUGGAGCCCCCGGACACAAUCUACUUUAGAGACAGAGUCCAGCUAUGCCCACAUCCAAAGUGCCUCCCAAAAGUGGGCUCCCCAGUUCCACAUGAACCAGCUGAUUUUUCUCCCGGUCCUGUACCCUGAGCCACACGCAGACCGAGCAGGACAAGGCCUGCACUCGCUGAAUGCCAGACGGGCGCUGGCAUUUGACAUUCGGGGACUAAGCCCUUCCCGUAAAUCCCCGCAGCUUUCCACAGUGCUAGCGGGAAGAACAAGGGGGCUCCCCAUCUCCGCUCUGAGGAUUUCGUCUUGGGUUACAUCGCGCGUCCAGGUGUCUUCUGACCUCACGGAGAUUCCCCAUCUGCCGAAGGUCACUGCUCACGUCACAAGGUCUCAGUUCUCUUCAGCGGCCUUUCUAGCGCAAGUCCCUACUCAGGAUAUCUGCAGCUCUGCGACCUGCUCCUCGGCGCACACGUUCUCAGCGCACUGGGCUGUCACUCAGCAGGCCAGGGACAAUGCAUGCUCUGGCCGUGCUGUGCUGCAGCGUAGCCUGACUUGGGGUGUGUUAGUAGUGUUGAUUUAAUUUAUCCGCUUAAUUUAAUUGUAUUUAAUUUUUAAUUAAUAAAUAAUUUUAAUAAUUAUUAAAAUGUAUAUUAAUUAGUAUGGGUUUUGGCUCUCCAAUUUGUUUGAUCAGAAGAUAAAGUUCGUCCUGAAUCAGGCCUCACAGAGUUUAUAAAAGGAACUUUGGGGCUAUGACAGGAAGCUCACACUGAGACAGGUAUAGUUAUAAAAACCUUUUAUUAAAAUCAAUAAAAUAGUAAGCAAAUGGUAAAACAGUUAGAAUUACUGUUAUUUGAGAGAUACAGAUGACAAUACAAUAUUGUAAGCUGCAAACAUGGUUAAUACUCACGCUCUGUUUUAAUAAGCUGGUGUUGGAAGAUACAGACCACGCCUGUGGCAAUUUCUGUUUUCACACCUCUGGCAGAGGAAGCUAAAUGCAGGGCUGUUAAAGCGGUUUGCUCUCUAACUUAACCCUGUGAGCCUAAAAUAAAACAUAAGGGAAAUUAAAUCCCUGUACGCUUACAGUUUGAAAGAAAUAAACUACGGCCUGUUAAUAUUAAUAACUGUCACAGAUGGGUAGCAUCGACACGUUGUUGAAGGUGGAGGCAAUGAAGAGUAGACGGGAGCAGAUAGGUGGGUAGAUUGCCUGCCUGAUGGUGAGCUACCUCGCCUUUUUAUAGGGCAUUAGUCAGAAAUCCUUCCUCUUAUGCCCAAAUUUCAUCCUUCCCCCAUGGAAAUGUUAGGGUACACUUACUCCAUAGGCUAAUAUGUAUGUGCGUAUGAAUGACAGGUAUGUAUGCAUUUGUGGUGUACUUGUUAGAUAUGUGGGCAAAAAUCCUGCUUUUCCACCCUUUACUGUUGGUUCAGGCAAAGGUCUCUAGACAUCUGCGUGGGUGUUUUUGUCUAAUUUUACUGAUAUCUGGGUAAGGGUCCCAAAAUGUGUUAACUUCGCAUUAGCUUAACAUACAGGGUUUUGGCCCUGUAGGUCUCUUGCAUUACAGCCAAACUUAUUCUUAAUAUAAAUCUAUAAGCCUAUUACAUCAAAUACUCAAAUUUAUAAGAGAUAUAUUUACACAGACCAGCAGAUUAAUCGUUAGGGCUACAGCAGUCAGCUUGUCCUUGAACUCUGGGCCCCCCUCCAGUGCCGUGGCUUGUGAGUCACCGACAUCGGAAUGGACACGAGCAAGUGCUCGAAGAAGGAAUGAUGGUUACUGACCUUUCUGUGACUGUUGUUCUUUGAGAUGAGACACCCACCCCCCGGCCCCGCUCUCGGAGUUGUUGGUAAGACGGGACUGAGGGGUGCGGGCUCGGCAGGGCCCCUUAUACCGGCACUAUGAGCCCAUGGCACCAGGUGCUCCAGAGCCGACCCGACAGGUAGCACUAGGGGAAAUGUUCCAGCAGUGAUGCUCGGGGAGCUCGCACCCCUACAUGGGAACGGAUGUGUGUAGCACAUCUCGACGGACAGUGGUUAUAGAAAGGUUAGUGGCCAUUUUCCCUCAGUGAUCAGGGGGUUGUUUAGACAGAGACUCAGCUUUAAUCUCAGAGAUGACCCCUGUUUGUCCUGGGGCCCAAGGAAUGGCACCUCCCCUCCUUUUGUCCAGCACCAUCUCACCGAGGGAGGAGCUCUGGGAACUCUGGGUGUUCAUGGAGCCCUCAAGAUCCACAUACGCUGCACACGGUGUUUGUGCAUGGCCAGGGCUCGGUUUGUUCUCUGCCAUCCCACAACUAAAGGACAAACUGUCAAAAUCUGCCAUGCCAGGAUGGCUGAGAUGGUGCAGCCCGCAGCCUACAAGUCAGAGCCGCCCCAGCACCUUGCCUCCACCCCCCUCGCUGAGAGUGGCAGCAACAGCCCACGGGGCUGCAGGAUCCGUACUGCCCUGUGUGGUGAGAUCUGCCUGGCCCGGUUCAGACCUUCCCACACUGUCACAGCUGGACAUGCUGGCACCAGCCCACGCUGCUGUCAGUGGGAGAGGGCCCAGCGCUGGGUCUGCCGGUAGCAGAGAAGGAGCUGAGCACCCUGGCUUGUCAUUCUGUUAGACCCACCCCUCAUGGCUCCCCAUUGUGGGAAUCCUCUGGGGUACGGGUCUCUGCUCGUGUGGCAGGGAGAGAAAAGGAAAAUAUGGCCUGGCAGACUGACCAUUUCCUUCGAGUCACAAGGUCCAUGACCAGCUCCCCUCUUUGGAGCAUUUCUCUGAGUUGAUAAAAAGCCCAGUGGGUCCAUGCCCCGGUUCCUCUGCAGCAGGAAUUCACCGUUUAUUUCUGUAACACCUAGAGGCUCAUUCCCGACUGUCUGCCCACAGGGACGUGUGUCCUGGGCCGUGCGGGGAGCUGUCUCCGCAGGCAGGCUCUGCGGGUAGCUGGCCAGACCCUCCCCAAGCAGUGCCUGGCGGGUCUGGUCUGCCCGUGCAGCUACAGCAGGCCUGGGGUGUGGGACGGAGCUAUGGCCCCAAUAACCCCAAGAGGAAGCUUCAGUCAGUCAGGAUCAGUUUCCUAAUGUGGGGAUAGUUUGUUUAGCCUUCUCGUGGCUGAGGCGUUUGGGGGACUCCCCCCACCCAAGGCGUGUGAGGGCAUAUGGGGGUCACACUAACCAGGAAUGCACACGCAGCCCCAGGGCUCCCCUAGCUCUGAACUAGCCCAGAGUUGGGUGGUUCUGGCCCCACUGCAGGGCUCGGGGGCUGUUGGAUGGGGGCUGAGCUUCCACCUUCUCUCCAAACCCAGUGUCCUCAUCCAUUAAUUCUGUGCCCCCCACUCCCGGCCCCUCCGUGUCCUGUCUACACUGAGCUUCCCAUGCUCCCAGCUGCCUGCGUGUCCCGGCCGUGCCGCGCUCAGCCAGCCAGCUCAGGCUGUUCCCUGACAGGGCAGGAGGCUCCACUCCCAACUGGGGGGGGGGGGGCAGGGGUGACUGAGGACGGCAGCAUCUUGAGGGGAGCUGGGUUGGGGGGACUGAGGGGGCUGGUGCAGAAGGAGGGGGGGUGGGGGCACAGAAGGUGCAGAGGGGCUGGUGCUGAGGCAGGGUGGGACAGAGCAAGCAGGGUACGGAGGGGGCUGGGGUACGGGGUGGAGGGGCCGGGGCAGAGGGAGCAAUUGCAGGAUCAGGCUGGUGGAAGGAGCUGUUGUAGGGUGGCAGCGGGUGCGGAGGGAGUACAUAGGGUGCUGAGACAGGACAUCAUCGGGGGGAGGGUGCCCAGAGCUGGGGGGCAGGACAGCGCAGGGGCUGGAGCGGAGACUCUCCUGGGUGGGAAUCAAUGGGGAGCAGACCCCAAAAGGCAGGAGAUGGUCAGGAGGAGAGACCCAGGAAAUGGGAAGAGCCUGGGGAGGAAAGCGAGGUGGGCACCCCCAGUGCCUGGAGGGGGGCCGUUCUGGCUAGCUUGUCUCGCUGCUCCCGUGGCCCCAGCAGCGUGGUGGCAGGGCUGUGAGACGUGCCGUGUUGGGGGGAGCAGGUGGAACCCAGCAGCCUGCCCAGCCCUGGCUACCUUUGGGGUUUGUGUGCAGACGGGGGCUAAUUGUGUCCAACCUGCGCUGAGCUCAGGCCGGUGCCGGCUGCGGGGACGGUUACUGGGGUUGGCUCCGGCCCCCAGCAGGCCCUGAGCUGCCGUUACUGGCUUGGCCUGAACCCCAUGCAGUGAGUGGAGGUGGGGGGCUGGCUGCACGCCCUACAGGGGCCUGAUUCGCAGGGGGGGGUGCCCAGCUCGCCUUUCCAGGUGAGAGCGUUGGGCCCCUUUCAGUGUUUCUGGCUAGACCCCUCCCCAAAAUCGCCUGUCACUGGUGAACACGCAGCCCAGACUGUGGCUUUCUCCGUGUGGGAUGGGGGUAUGCGAGGGUGUUUGGGUCCCCGCCUGGGCUAUUCUCAUACCAUUCCCCCCACUGCACCCAUGGGCUCCCUGCUUCUGUUUGCCGAGCCAGUUGCCCUCCCUGCCACUAGCUUCUCUUUCCUGCCCCCAUGUCCGUCCCCACCUCCUGACAGCCCAGGGUGCAGCCACGUACCAAGGGCAGCCCUGCUCUGGGUUCCCUGGCACAUGGGGCCACCUUAGCCGGGGGCAGCGUCUCUGCCGCUGGUAGGGAAACGGGCCAUCCUAGCACAGGGCGUCCUGCGGCUCCAGCUCCGUGGCAGAGGUGGCCAGGCUCAGGAGCAGAACCAGCGCGGUUUGCGCCUUGGCCAUGGUCGCCCCCGGGGCGCUAGGCGGCGCCUGGAGCUGUGCCCUACAAACCGGAACAGGGAGACGCUGGGAACGUCGGGCACGUGUGGGGCGGGGGCGCUGCUGGGUGGGGUCGGUGUGAGCGGGGAGAUACUGGGAACAUCGGGCACGUGUGGGGCGGGGGCGCUGCUGGGUGGGGUCGGUGUGAGCGGGGGGAAACUGGGAACGUCGGUCACGUGUGGGGCGGGGCGCUGCUGGGUGGGGUCGGUGUGAGCGGGGAGACACUGGGAACAUCGGGCACAUGUGGGGCGGGGUGCUGCUGGGUGGGGUCGGUGUGAACAGGGAGACGCUGGGAACGUCGGGCACGUGUGGGGCGGGGGCGCUGCUGGGUGGGGUCAGUGUGAACGGGGAGACACUGGGAACGUCGGGUACGUGUGGGGCGGGGGCGCUGCUGGGUGGGGUCGGUGUGAGCGGGGAGAUACUGGGAACAUCGGGCACGUGUGGGGCGGGGUCGCUGCUGGGUGGGGUCAGUGUGAACGGGGAGACACUGGGAACGUCGGGCACGUGUGGGGCGGGGGCGCUGCUGGGUGGGGUCGGUGUGAACGGGGAAACGCUGGGAACGUCGGGCACGUGUGGGGCGGGGGUGCUGCUGGGUGGGGUCGGUGUGAGCGGGGAGACACUGGGAACGUCGGGCACGUGUGGGGCGGGGGCGCUGCUGGGUGGGGUCGGUGUGAGCGGGGAGACACUGGGAACAUCGGGCACGUGUGGGGCGGGGGCGCUGCUGGGUGGGGUCGGUGUGAGCGGGGAGACACUGGGAACGUCGGGCACGUGUGGGGCGGGGGCGCUGCUGGGUGAGGUCGGUGUGAGCGGGGAGACACUGGGAACA